rnacentral:tRNA from 1 species
GGGCUCGUAGCUCAGCCUGGCUAGAGCAACUGACUCUUAAUCAGUAGGUCGUGGGUUCAAAGCCCACCGAGCUCA